rnacentral:rRNA from 1 species
UACGUAGGGUGCGAGCGUUGUCCGGAUUUAUUGGGCGUAAAGAGCUCGUAGGUGGUUCGGCAAGUCAGUUGUGAAAUCUCCGCGCUCAACGCGGAGGGGUCAGCUGAAACUGCUGUGACUUGAGUCUGGUAGGGGAGUGUGGAAUUCCCGGUGUAGCGGUGAAAUGCGCAGAUAUCGGGAGGAACACCAGUGGCGAAGGCGGCACUCUGGGCCAGUACUGACACUGAGGAGCGAAAGCGUGGGGAGCGAACAGG